GGACGCCGUGCGUGGCGGGAGGUGCUUCUGUGCUGACCGUGUUGGACGCUUAAGCCUGACGGCUACGUACCCUAAUCCACCAUAAAGAAGAAGCAGAAGUAUUGCCCGUGUCUGCCCGAAAGACUGGACAUCACCAGACGUCAGUGGCUCAUCAGAUCGGCCCGAUACCGAGAGGAUCUAUCGACACCGCGUGUCCUAUCGAGGGCUACGGUCGGCCGACACUCACGGAUGUCACCGGCCGCCGUGACGUCAUCCCAGGCAGCCACGUGACGUCACCGGGAGAUUAGCGCGCCUCCCGGAGGUAUUGAGUUACACCGGAGGCGACACAACUAUAGUGUGUAGUAUUACUCGUCCGAAAAACAAACACCCGAUACUUUU